AAGCCCAACAGCUACCCUAGGUUUACUUCCCCAGCUCAAGGUUCCCAAACCUGAAAGGCCUAUCCUAUUACAUUCACCUAGGUUAUCUACAUGGUUUUCUUUGCCUUAAAACAAGUCUGUGCAGACAUUUCUUCCCUCCCUUUUAAACAGGAAACAUCAAAGCAGUUAUUUUCAUCAUCUUUGAACUGCAUGCAUUAAUCUUAAUAUAUGUAUUAAUUUAUUUACAGCCUUUUGAUUCUGCGUCUCCUCCUCAUUUCAAGGAAAGCCAUGAAGGAAGGAUUUCAAAUUCAGGGCCUCUCCUCAGGCUAAUAAGACUAGGGCAGCAGAACCUACCACCCUUGAAAAUGCCAAGAGGCUGCAGAUUCUGCAGAAGUCCUGGUCACUGUCACUCACCAACCAGCUCUAGAAACUCAUGUGUUCAUUUUUCUCAAAUAUAUUCAUGGCUCAAUUGGCACGAAGACAGAAAAAUAAUCAGCUAUAAAAGGCCAGCAAUUAACCAGAUAUAAAAAGCACCUGCAAAUGAAGCAAAUCCACUUAAUUCCUCUACUUUAAGUUGGUUUUGUCGGACUUUUUUUUGAAGUGAGAACUAAAACAAUGAAUUAAGCAAAGACCACAUUGCUAAGAAUAUCUCCAGAUGCUUUUGCCAUCAGUUCUGAGAAGUACAACAUUGUGAGAAAACGUUACCUGAAAGACUCAUGUCCUGGAGUGUCGAUUAUCAGCAUGCCUGGAAUUUUUAUGUUCUCUCUGUCAAACUAACAUUUCAAAAUAUUAGCCAUCUUGUAGAGAUUACACAAGAAGAAAAAAGAACAAAAUAAGAGCUGGCAACAUUACUGACAGUCUGCACUUCAAAAAUCCAGAUACAUGUUUUAAGGUCAGCACCCCCUAUCAACCAAAUCAAUCUACAAUCACUUCAACAUUAAAAUAAAUCAUGCAGCACAUUCCUCCAGGUGCUAACUGACCGCAAGAUAAACUAAAAUCUGUAAGACAAGGCAGCCCACAGAAGAAAAACCAUUUCAGGGCAGUGAGAUGUACCAUCCUUGUCUUUAUGAUUUUCUCCUCUCCCCUAAGUUUACAGGUUUACAAAGUUGAGUUAAAUCUUGGAAAAAGCCAUUACUACACCAAGGCUUUUCAGCCAGCUGCUUCCACAAGCAAAAUAGUAUACAGUUUCCAAAAGAAAUGAUACAGAACAGUUACCAUUUCUGUAACGUGAUAAAAUUCAUCACCCAGAAACUGGCCAAAUUUCAGCACACACAGCAAAGGGUAAGCUUUUAACACAAAUAUACUCAAGAGGUUUCGAGAGUCUCAAUUUACAAUCAAAACUCUGACAAGUAAGCAGUCUGUGUACAUAUGUGCACUGUCCAGAACAGAGCAAACAGUAUUUGCAUAUUUUUCUGAAAAAACAGCAAUGCAUUAACUGAAGUCAAAUGCAUGAAAAAUGAGACAACCUCCCCUUUCCUGGGGGAAUGAUAGGAAUUAAAAAACAAUUGACCACAACACUGGAGGGGGAGGGGUGAAGCACAUCUGUUCCUGUCAGGAACUCUCACAAGGCCUUCAUUACUCUACAGUCCACAUUUUUUAAGAUGCAGUCACUGAAGUACUGUAACUUACAUUUUUCACCAUCUUGGUUUGUUCAUUAAUAGCUUCAAGAGGAACAUUAGUUGCACCAAUCUGCUGAGUGAUACCACCAGCUUCACUGUCCUGCACAUGAGUGUGGCGGAGCUAAAGGCAAAAAAACCAGAAAUAAUUACACAGAAGAAACUAAAAUUAUGUCUGAGCACACUCUAAUUCUUUUUGUCUUCAACCAAGAAAAUAAAUGCUUAAAAACAUGAGGCACAGGCAGUGCUUUCACACUCCAAACCUUACCUUAUCUAAAAUUUUGGUCUUGCCUGUGUCUACAUGCCCCAGGACACAGAUAACUGGUGCUCUGAGCUUUUCAGUGUUCAUGUUUUUGCUGUUUUCAGCUCGUCGUUUCUAUGUAAAAGACAUGUAAAAAUUGGUGAGUAUAAACCAAAAAGCACAGCUCACCUCUUGACUUGAUGACAUACAUACAAACAGAGUUAGCUGUGGGACUUAUAUUUUCAAGGCAAUUUAAAGUCUGUCAUCCCUCUUUAGGUAAAUCAAAAAUUUUUGAUUAACAUCUAACAUUUUUGUUUAGUUGGAUCUUCUAAUAGUGUAGUAGGCUAAGUUGUUAUAUCCACUUACAGUAGCUUUGCUGAAGGUGCAUUCUGAACAAGCACCUUGGGUGAGGAAAUCAAGAACGUUAGCAGCCAUGAAAGCACUGAACAGUUUAGACACAUCUUUUAGAACCUGAAAAUAUCUAUCUGUAAAACUCUUUUCCAGAAGGGAUAUAGAGGUGGAGGGGAACAACACUGAAGUUGCCAUCUUUAUAGUCAAGUUACCUAAAAACAAAUACUUUAUCUUCACACAAAACCAAGGGGAUUUUUUCUUAAUUAAUACAAUUUCUGAACCUGCUUAAAUAUUAGCCCUGACACAACCACCAUUUUGACAAAUAUGACAAAAUUAACUGCAAAUUAAUCUGUUGUUAUACACCACAAGAAUCCAAGUGUAUGUCAAUACCUCAAUUCUCCGUUUAGCUUUGUCAUAAGCACGCUCCUCCUUGGUGCGGUCAUCGUCAGAGUCAUACUCAGAAUCAGAGCUGAUUUCCUUGCUAGGCUUUUUUUCCAUAGAUUGUUUUCCAAUAGCUUGGGAGUCUGGCUCUCUCUCAUCUGAAGUCUUUUCAUCCUCAUCUUCACUGCCUUCACUAUCUUCAGAUUCUUCACUCUCUUCUUCCUCUUCCUCCU